CUCUUUAGCUUGGCAUUUGAAUCGGCUUUGCUGUUGCGAAGUAGAGUGGCGGCCUUUCGGCUUGCCCGGAAGGGUCCGAAAUCCUAUUUGGGAAAUGUUGUGUACUUCGGUAUGCAUCUCAAUUGGACCUGAUAUCAGGCAAGAUUACCCGCUGAACUUAAGCAUAUUAAUAAGCGGAGGAAAAGAAACUAACAAGGAUUCCCCUAGUAACGGCGAGUGAAGCGCGAAAGAGCUCAAGCUUAAAAUCUCCGUGCAAGUUUUGCGCGGCGAAUUGUAGUCUAUAGAGGCGUGAUCAGUGUGGGCGCUUGGGGCAAGUUCCUUGGAAGAGGACAGCAUGGAGGGUGAUACUCCCGUUCAUCCCUGAGUUGCUCGUGCGUACGAUCCGUUUUCUUUGAGUCGCGUUGUUUGGGAAUGCAGCGCAAAGUAGGUGGUAAAUUCCAUCUAAAGCUAAAUAUUGGUGCGAGACCGAUAGCGAACAAGUACCGUGAGGGAAAGAUGAAAAGAACUUUGAAAAGAGAGUUAAAGAGUACCUGAAACUGCUGAAAGGGAACCGAAUCGUUUCCAGUGUCUAUAAUCCGUGGUAUAUUUCAUUGGCGAGUGUGUGCGUGCGUGUGCUGUGGCAGCGGCUUUUUUGGCUGCGCUCGGCGUGUGUGCUGUGUGUGCUUGCUGGUGCCCUGUGCUGCGGUGGGACGUCAAGGUCAGUUCGUAUGCUGCGGGAAAUGGCCGCCGAGGAGGUAGGGCUUACGCUUGCGUUUGUCUGUUAUAUCUUGGUGGACGAGUAGUCGCGGUUGGGACUGAGGUGCCUACAACGUGUUUUUGAGUGGGCCUGUGUCUCUGUGUGCGCCGUGUGCGGAUAGCUUGCUAUGCGUGUGUGGUUGUGUGUGGAUUGAUGUGGGUUUUAACUUGUUGCCGUUCGGGACGUUGACGAAAUGGAGCGAUUUGACCCGUCUUGAAACACGGACCAAGGAGUCUAACAUGUGUGCAAGUGUUAGGGUGUGGAAACCCCAGCGCGAAAUGAAAGUGAAGGGCAGCGUAAGUUGUCUGAGGUAGGAAAUG